rnacentral:rRNA from 1 species
GCGCUGCAUUAGCUAGUUGGUAAGGUAACGGCUUACCAAGGCAACGAUGCAUAGCCGACCUGAGAGGGUGAUCGGCCACACUGGAACUGAGACACGGUCCAGACUCCUACGGGAGGCAGCAGUAGGGAAUCUUCCGCAAUGGGCGAAAGCCUGACGGAGCAACGCCGCGUGAGUGAUGAAGGUCUUCGGAUCGUAAAACUCUGUUAUUAGGGAAGAACAUAUGUGUAAGUAACUGUGCACAUCUUGACGGUACCUAAUCAGAAAGCCACGGCUAACUACGUGCCAGCAGCCGCGGUAAUACGUAGGUGGCAAGCGUUAUCCGGAAUUAUUGGGCGUAAAGCGCGCGUAGGCGGUUUUUUAAGUCUGAUGUGAAAGCCCACGGCUCAACCGUGGAGGGUCAUUGGAAACUGGAAAACUUGAGUGCAGAAGAGGAAAGUGGAAUUCCAUGUGUAGCGGUGAAAUGCGCAGAGAUAUGGAGGAACACCAGUGGCGAAGGCGACUUUCUGGUCUGUAACUGAC